CUUCACUGCCCCCAGGGAGAAAAACUGGGCGAGUGGGUGGCUCCUGUAGGGGAAAGGCCCUGGAACACCAUGUUAGUUCCUUCUUGGUAUGACCAGGAAAAUAGUGGAGAGAAGGAGGGAGAGGACAGGAGCGCCACAGACUUCUGUCUCCAAGAGGGGUUUUCCGCACCACUGCCUGCGACCCAGAUGCCCUGCUUAGAAGCACUAAACUUCACCGCCUCCUGCCAGCGCUCUGCGCUCCCCUCCCCCGC
rnacentral:lncRNA from 10 species